AUGAGGCGGGAGGUAGGUUUAGAGCAGGAGGCACGUCGUGUUCGCGGAGAGAUCGAAGGCUUGGGUAAGACCCUUUGUGACCAUGUCUGCAGCAAGGUCUAUGUCUGCUUCGUCAACCAGCAGGAGCUGGAAGCGCCAGUCUACCAGGACGACGGCCACCUCACGGAGGUGACUGGACCGCUCAUAAUGGUAUGUAGGCGACGGCCGUCCCUCAUGUCAAGAUUGUGGUUUCUCAAGGGUCUAGGUGUGGUUCUGCGUCGGGAUUGCGCACACACAUCUCACUUCAUCCUGGCAGCAGGAGCUGAUACUUCAUGGUGUACCCCAAUGAGCACUAUGAGUCUGUGA
rnacentral:rRNA from 1 species